GCUGGUCAAAGGGAACCACGG
rnacentral:miRNA from 11 species